rnacentral:rRNA from 1 species
GUGCGAAAGCAGGUCAUAGUGAUCCGGUGGUUCUGAAUGGAAGGGCCAUCGCUCAACGGAUAAAAGGUACUCCGGGGAUAACAGGCUGAUACCGCCCAAGAGUUCAUAUCGACGGCGGUGUUUGGCACCUCGAUGUCGGCUCAUCACAUCCUGGGGCUGAAGUAGGUCCCAAGGGUAUGGCUGUUCGCCAUUUAAAGUGGUACGCGAGCUGGGUUUAGAACGUCGUGAGACAGUUCGGUCCCUAUCUGCCGUGGGCGCUGGAGAACUGAGGGGGGCUGCUCCUAGUACGAGAGGACCGGAGUGGACGCAUCACUGGUGUUCGGGUUGUCAUGCCAAUGGCACUGCCCGGUAGCUAAAUGCGGAAGAGAUAAGUGCUGAAAGCAUCUAAGCACGAAACUUGCCCCGAGAUGAGUUCUCCCUGAGACUUAAAGUCUCCUGAAGGAACGUUGAAGACGACGACGUUGAUAGGCCGGGUGUGUAAGCGCAGCGAUGCGUUGAGCUAACCGGUACUAAUGAACCGUGAGGCUUAACCUUACAACGCCGAAGGUGUUU